AGAGUUUGAUCCUGGCUCAGGAUGAACGCUGGCGGUCUGCUUAACACAUGCAAGUCGAACGGAGUAGAAAUACUUAGUGGCGGACGGGUGAGUAACGCGUGAGAAUCUGGCUUUAGGUCUGGGACAACCACUGGAAACGGUGGCUAAUACCGGAUGUGCCCUGCGGGGUGAAAGAUUAAUUGCCUGAAGAUGAGCUCGCGUCUGAUUAGCUAGUAGGUGGUGUAAUAGACUACCUAGGCGACGAUCAGUAGCUGGUCUGAGAGGACGAUCAGCCACACUGGGACUGAGACACGGCCCAGACUCCUACGGGAGGCAGCAGUGGGGAAUUUUCCGCAAUGGGCGAAAGCCUGACGGAGCAAUACCGCGUGAGGGAGGAAGGCUCUUGGGUCGUAAACCUCUUUUCUCAGGGAAGAACACAAUGACGGUACCUGAGGAAUAAGCAUCGGCUAACUCCGUGCCAGCAGCCGCGGUAAUACGGAGGAUGCAAGCGUUAUCCGGAAUGAUUGGGCGUAAAGCGUCCGCAGGUGGCUGUGUAAGUCUGCUGUUAAAGAGUCUAGCUCAACUAGAUACAAGCAGUGGAAACUACACGGCUAGAGUACGUUCGGGGCAGAGGGAAUUCCUGGUGUAGCGGUGAAAUGCGUAGAGAUCAGGAAGAACACCAGUGGCGAAGGCGCUCUGCUAGGCCGUAACUGACACUGAGGGACGAAAGCUAGGGGAGCGAAUGGGAUUAGAUACCCUAGUAGUCC
rnacentral:rRNA from 1 species